rnacentral:rRNA from 1 species
UACAGAGGUCCCAAGCGUUGUUCGGAUUCAUUGGGCGUAAAGGGUGCGUAGGUGGCAUGGUAAGUCGGGUGUGAAAUCCCGGGGCUCAACCCCGGAACUGCACUCGAUACUGCCGUGCUCGAGUACUGGAGAGGAGACUGGAAUUUACGGUGUAGCAGUGAAAUGCGUAGAUAUCGUAAGGAACACCAAUAGCGAAGGCAGCUCGCUGGGACGGUACUGACGCUGAGGCGCGAAAGCGUGGGGAGCAAACAGG